UACGUAGGGUGCGAGCGUUGUCCGGAAUUAUUGGGCGUAAAGAGCUCGUAGGCGGUCUGUCGCGUCUGCUGUGAAAACUCAGGGCUUAACCCUGAGCUUGCAGUGGGUACGGGCAGACUAGAGUGCGGUAGGGGAGACUGGAAUUCCUGGUGUAGCGGUGAAAUGCGCAGAUAUCAGGAGGAACACCGGUGGCGAAGGCGGGGUCUCUGGGCCGUAACUGACGCUGAGGCACGAAAGCGUGGGUAGCAAACAGG
rnacentral:rRNA from 1 species